UCCCUGGUGGUCUAGUGGUUAGGAUUCGGGCGCUCACCGCCGCGGGUCCUGGUUCGAUUCCCCGUCAGGGAA
rnacentral:tRNA from 1 species